GCSRSUWMUGGWCGUMGMUCGCGWCACUAGUACGGCCGCCAGUGUGCUGGAAUUCGCCCUUCCCGGCGUUGAAUCGCAAUUAAACCGCAAACUCCACCCGUUGUGGUGCUCCCCCGCCAAUUCCUUUAAGUUUCAGCCUUGCGGCCGUACUUCCCAGGUGGCUCGCUUCACGGCUUCCCUACGGCACCAACAACGGUCGCACCGUGGCCGACACCUAGCGAGUAUCGUUUACGGCUAGGACUACCCGGGUAUCUAAUCCGGUUCGUGCCCCUAGCUUUCGUCCCUUGCCGUCAGGUCCGUUCUGGUGAGACGCCUUCGCCACUGGUGGUCCUUCAAGGAUUACAAGAUUUCACCCCUACCCCUGAAGUACCUCUCACCUCUCCCGGCCUCGAGCCGAACAGUAUCUCCUGAAAGCCCAACAGUUGAGCUGCUGGAUUUCUCAAGAGACUUAUCCGGCCGGCUACAGACCCUUUAGACCCAAUAAUAACGGUUACCACUCGAGCCGCCGGUGUUACCGCGGCGGCUGGCACCGGUCUUGCCCGGCCCUUGCUAUGCAAUGCUUUUAGGCAUCACGACAGCCAGAUUUGUAACUGGACUCAAGGCCCCUUAUC
rnacentral:rRNA from 1 species